GCAUAUCAAUAAGCGGAGGAAAAGAAACUAACAAGGAUUCCCCUAGUAACGGCGAGUGAAGCGGGAAGAGCACAAAUUUAAAAUCUACCUGGUUUCUAGGUCGAGUUGUAAUUUGUAGAUACGUUUUUGAUGUUCCUGGUUGGACUAAAUCCUUUGGGAUAAGGUAUCAUAGAGGGUGAGAAUCCCGUGUAUACCAACCACAGGGAUGUUAUUUAAUAACGUUUCUAAGAGUCGAGUUGUUUGGGAAUGCAGCUCUAAAUGGGUGGUAAAUUUCACCUAAUGCUAAAUAUAAGCGAGAGACCGAUAGCGAACAAGUACAGUGAUGGAAAGAUGAAAAGAACUUUGAAAAGAGAGUUAAAUAGUACGUGAGAUUGUUGAAAGGGAAACGAUUGAAGUCAGUCAUGCCGGCGGGAAUCAACUUAGAGGAAACUCUGAGUGCACUUCUUCGUUUGGCAGGUUAGCGUCGAUUUUGGCUGUCAUAAAAUAAUUGGGGGAAGGUAGCUCCUUCGGGAGUGUUAUAGCCCUUGAUAGAUGUGAUGCCUGGGAUCGAGGAUUGCAACGGAUAUCCUUCGGGGGCUAGCCGCCUGAUCUCUAAUUGGUGUUGGGUUACGGACAGCAUGCUGACCGUGAUCUGAUUACUGGUUAAAAGGUUAGAGCGUGCAUAAAUUCGUUAAGGACGCUGACGUAAUGGCUUUAAACGAC
rnacentral:rRNA from 1 species